GAUGAACGCUUCCUCCGUGCCUAAUACAUGCAAGUCGAGCGAACAGACGAGGAGCUUUCUCCUCUGACGUUAGCGGCGGACGGGGGAGUACAACGGGGAUAACCUACCUACAAGACUGGGAUAACUUCGGGAAACCGGAGCUAAUACCGGAUAAUAUAUUGAACCGCAUGGUUCAAUAGUGAAAGACGGUUUUGCUGUCACUUAUAGAUGGAUUCGCGCCGCAUUAGCUAGUUGGUAAGGUAACGGCUUACCAAGGCAACGAGGCGUAGCCGACCUGAGAGGGUGGGCGGCCACACUGGAACGGAGACACGGUCCAGACUCCUACGGGAGGCAGCAGUAGGGAAGCUUCCGCAAUAGGCGGAAGGCUGACGUAGCAACGCCGCGUGAGUGAUGAAGGUCUUCGGAUCGUAAAAUUAUGUUAUUAGGGAAGAACAAAUGUGUAAGUAACUAUGCACGUCUUGACGGUACCUAAUCAGAAAGCCACGGCUAACUACGUG
rnacentral:rRNA from 1 species